CCCUAAGCCUCUCCCAGCACGCUCCCUGCUACAGCUCCCACUGGAGUAGCACCACAGCUAGAAUGCAAGUAUAUCUUAUCUGAAGAAACAAAAAAGAAAGAUAACCAGUGGCAGAAAUGCACUAGACAUCAGAGCUUACUCCAAGUGGAACCUGACAUCGUUUGCAGAUGCAAUUUAACUCUCAAGAAAUCAAGGGGUGAUUUUCUGUGUCAGCAUCUUGUGUGGUUUUUCAGUUCAAAGUGAUCAGUCGAGUUGCUGCCAGGCUUUACUUCACCUAUGUAAAUGACAACACAAAGUACAGUGAUAUGUAAUAUCACAAAGUGUUAUGGAAAAAUAUGCCUAAAAUAUAUAGAUUUCUAAAGUAA